GUGGUGCAUGGUUUGUCGCUCGUGUCGUGAGAUGUUGGGUUAAGUCCCGCAACGAGCGCAACCCUUGUCUUUAGUUGCCAUCAUUAAGUUGGGCACUCUAGAGGGACUGCCAGGGAUAACCUGGAGGAAGGUGGGGAUGACGUCAAAUCAUCAUGCCCCUUAUGCUUAGGGCUACACACGUGCUACAAUGGGUAGUACAGAGGGUUGCCAAGCCGUAAGGUGGAGCUAAUC
rnacentral:rRNA from 1 species